rnacentral:snRNA from 1 species
GGAUGUGAGGGCGAUCUGGCUGCGACAUCUGUCACCCCAUUGAUCGCCAGGGUUGAUUCAGCUGAUCUGGCCGGCCAGGCGGGUGUCCCCUUCCUCCCUCACUGCUCCAUGUGCAUCCCUCCGAAGCUGCCCGCUCAGUCAAAGAGGACGACCUUCCCUGCUAGAGGAGGACCGGUCUUCGGUCAAGGGUAUAUGAGUAGCUGCACUCCCCUGCUAGAACCUCCAAACUAGCUCUCAAAUAACCUUAGAUAGCACCCAGACAUCCAUUACACCACAUAACAAUGU